rnacentral:lncRNA from 1 species
CACACUGACCUCCGCACUCUGGGAUGAAAACUUGGUUUUCUAUUGUUUCCUGGUGCUCCAUGUGUCUGUUUUUCACUCUGCUUCUUCCAUGUGGUCAAACUACGAGUUGGUUUAGGUGAUUUUGGUUUCGGCUCUUGCUUAUACCAAUCAGCAUUUGAGGAACCUUUGAAAGUAUGCAAGACAAACAAGCAAAGUCGAAAAGGCACAUGACCAAAGAUAUUAAAUCCACUACG